UACGAAGGGGGCGAGCGUUGUUCGGAUUUACUGGGCGUAAAGGGCGCGCAGGCGGUUCUGUUUGUCGAGUGUGAAAGCCCCGGGCUCAACCUGGGAACUGCGCUCGAAACGGCGGAACUAGAGUUCGGGAGAGGAGAGUGGAAUUCCGCGUGUAGCAGUGAAAUGCGUAGAGAUGCGGAGGAACACCGAUGGCGAAGGCAGCCCCCUGGGCUGACACUGACGCUCAGGCACGAAAGCGUGGGGAGCAAACAGG
rnacentral:rRNA from 1 species